GUCUACGGCCAUGCCGCCCUGAACAAGCCCGAUCCCGUCUGAUCUUGGAAGAUAAGCAGGGUGAGGCCUGGUUAGUACUUGGAUGGGAGACCUCCUAGGAAGACCAGGUGCUGUAGGCA
rnacentral:rRNA from 1 species